GUCUACAGCCAUGCCACCCUGAACAAGCCCAAUCCCGUCUGAUCUUGGAAGCUAAGCAGGGUCAGGCCUGGUUAGUACUUAGAUGGGAGACCACCUAGGAAGACCAGGUGUUGUAGGCG
rnacentral:rRNA from 1 species